ensembl:lncRNA
GUUUUACUUAUUAGCUCACCUGCUUGCGCGUGCCAAGUGGUUUUCUUAAUUUGGGUAAUUGGUUGCAUCUGGUGCGGGUCACUUAAAAGGGAACCGGGCAGCACGUUGUUGUCCUCCAAUGUUUGGCAGUGUAGCGUCUCCCAAACGCGGUUAAAGACUUUUUGAAGUAAAGAGGCGCAUCUCAUCUGGACCUGAUGUGUCUAUCAUGGAUUUUUAACUGCAGUUCUGUGAGUAUCCCAACUUAACCAUGAAGAUGAACUGCGAACUGUAAGUCAUUAGUUUCUCAUUACUCUUGGGCACAUUAAUGUAUUUUGGCUUCCUGGUGAGUUCACCUGUUAGCUGAAGGUUGAUCUGAGUAUUAAGGAUGUUUUAUUGGUUCAUGGGUUACUUAGGUGUUUGGUUUAUGUUGGUUUUAAUGGUUUGUUAAAAUGGUUACAGGUUCUAAGUUAUUGUUGUAAGCUGGAGUAAUGGGUUUGGUUCUGAUGUCUUCAGUCUUCUUUCCAUCUACUCUCCUGAGCUCUGCAUGUUCAUCACAUGAGUGUUGCUUUACUGAUGGUGUGCUUGCUCUGGGUGUGGUCUGAGCAAGCAGAGGUGCAUACUGGGAUACAGAGCUGUCUGAAGUCUACAGGUCUGUAGACACGCCCCCUCAGGGGAAAACGAGUGUUUGAGAAACCGUUGUGACGUCAGUUACAUGGACUAGAAUGUUCUUUAAGAUGGAGACUGGGAUUCAGAAGGAGAAACAUCAGGGGGAGAUGAAGGGGCUCCUCAUCUCAACGACUAAAACACAACUUCAGUCUGACGCAGAACCAUGGAACACAUUCAACAGUCCCCUCCAGGAAUCGUGACUCCUCAGGAUUUCCAAGAAGGUCUUAUUUGGGGCCAUUCCAAGAUGGAUCCUGCUCCUCAAGAGCGACCCCCUUCCACUGGGUGGUCUUCUGAACAGAUGACCUCCUUCCUGUCCUCAGGCUGACUAAAGCUGCACCGUUCGCAUCUGUGAAGGCCCCUCAUUCAGGAAACCACUGGACUACAAAGACAUGACUUCAGAGACGUUGAAUCAACCUGGGACACAUUUUGGAGACACCAGGCAUAAUCCAUCACCAGUGUGGGACGCCACUGAAGAAUGUUGUACAUAAUUUACGUCUCUGGAGACAUUGAUUGAUUGUUCUGGGUGUCCUGGCAGGAGAGCUGGGGUUGGAUGAUGGAAUGUUAUUUGGCAUGAGGUUUUUACCGUGUGUGCCUGCCUGCCUGUUAUACGUGUGCUUGGUUCAAUCUGGCAGGGGGUUCGACGUGUGCUUGGUUCAAUCUGGCAGGGGGUUCUACGCGUGUUUGGUUCAAUCUGGCAGGGGGUUCUCCGUCUCUGUCUCUGUGUGUGUGUGUGUGUUGCUUUGACGGUGAUAAUGUUCAUACAGGGGUCUGUGUGGUUGGCAUGGUCAACUAAAUCAUACCUGAUGGACGGCCACAUGUCUACUUGAGGCCUCAGUAGACAUGAGCCCUGCGCGACGCUCCGGAGCGAUAUCCAACACACUGGGCAGGGAGGAGAGUAUCCAACUCAAGUGUAAAAGGAUGCAAGCGGCGUGUUCAGAUCAGUGACUUCAAACUAGGACUACACCAACCAGGAUCAAUGGAGGAUGGACACCUAAAGGCAUUCCACAAGGAGAGUCUGGUGUUGGAAAGGGACCGCAAUGGAUAUUCAAGAUGACCUUCAUAGUGAUGAGGCGGCUCUUCCUACCUGGCUGGAUUGAUGGAGAGCCCUGUGGAUCUUGUCAGUUGCACGUCUUCUCAGGCUGAACUGUAUUUGUUUCGGACAGGACUAGCUGAACGAUUGGUUCCCUUAAAUCAGAACCAAUCUGGGAACUCCAACUAGUGCGCUCUUCAAGCUGAAGUUGUGCUCUUCAGCUGAGGCGGUAAGGAAACCUUCACUGGGGCUUCAAGGUGUAUAGAGGAGAACGUUUCAAAGUGUUCCAUGGUACUCUGAUGAAGACCGUUGUUGUGUUCAACUGGCUGAGAGGAAGAACCCUCACAUCCUUCUCUUGGCCUUUCUCCUCUGAGAAUCCUGGCGCCCUCUUGAAGGAUAUUCCAGCUCUUGUAACUGAUGUCACGACAGAUUCUCAAACUUGGUUUCUCCUGAGGGGUGUGUCAAUAGAACUGAAGACUUCACACAGCACUGUAUGCCAGCAUGCAUCUCUGCUCACUCAGACCACACCCUCAUAAGUAGGAUGCAACACGCACAAUGGCAUGUCAAGUCUAUCAUCUUUAAUUCUUUAAACCAAGAAGAUGGUUGGAUAGUUCAGGAAUUAGGCUUCAUUUUAUUAUGGGCAGUCCUUUCGCUCAAAUGUCCACUUCUCACUGGACCUGUACAUGUGUUGGCUGGCUGGCAUGAUUUGCUGUUGGUGAUGAGGCGGUCAGGCUGACGUUGCAGGGCUAUGGUCAGCUCUCUUUGAGCUCAACGUUUAGAUUUGCUCUGUAUGGUUUCUACCCUGAAUAAUCUAGAAAAUUGUUCUGUUUAUUGUAAAAUGUAGACACGGUUUCGUAUUUAAUUAUUCCAUUGUUUUUAGGUAAGGAUUUGAGGUUUAAAGUUGUUGUGGGACGUACAUGGUAGUUUGGUUCUUCGUACGGUUUUGAGUGAUCAUAUAACUUGUACACACUGGGUGCAUAAUAAUUUAAAGGUACACUGAAUAGUAAUGACCAACAUUAACAAACAGACAUCAAGGUAAGUCUGUUGUCUGUGUUUUAAUGAAGACCAUCGCUGAACUUCAGGAUCUUCCUCCGUUCAGCUCAAGGUGAGGCGCUGGUUAUGUUUUUUCUUUGGUUGGUUCCGGCCGGAAUGUUCGGAUUCCAGUCGGACGGUUUGUGCUUCCCACUGGGGAAGGUUCUGAGUGCGGUCACUUGAUUUAGUCUUAAUGGUUAGCAUAGAACGUUGUAGUCUUGACAACCAUAAGAACCCACCUAGCAGUUAGUGGACGUUGGUACCCUGAGGGAAUCUGGCGAACGUUCUGGGUUGUAUCUGCGUAACAUCGAGCCGUUAACUAUUUUCAGUCGGUUUCCAUUGGGAAUUGUUGUCCCUUAUCUUAAACAACUUAAGUUUGAUAUUAAAUGCAUGCUGACACGUACAACGUACAAUACGUUGAUAAUUUCCGAUGGUUGCGUCGUACUUUUUACCACGUUGACGGGACUCUCGCUGCGUAUAAAACGACGUUCUACUUGCGGGCCCAUUUCUGACCAUCAGUGAAGGCUGAAAAUCAUUUCAAGAUGGAAGACAAUUUGGCAAUUCUUCAAGGGAACCCAGCACCUGAAUAUGGCCGAGUAUAUUUGAUUUAAUAUCGAUACUGCUUACUGUUCUUUGGUACUUCAGCUUUUGUACAUUCUAAAUAUCUGGUGUCAUUAAUUGCCACAGAAGUUAAACCCUACCCAAUGGAAUGACGUUAAACAACGACUUUGGUGCAGAGUUACCAACUGGAUAAUAUCAAAGCUAAGAUAAUGGCACUUUCCCACAUGUUACAGUAGAAGAAACUCUAGAACUGUACAAGGUUAAAAAGGUAACAUGUAGUUUGUCCCAAGGUGUCUGCCUCCUCACCCUGAGCAAGACCUCCACCUCCUCACCCAGAGCCACACCUCCACCUCCUGUCCUCCAGAACAGCUGAAAGGCGAGGCUGAGAGGCUGGGGACCGGAGGCUUGUGGUGCCAGGAUGGACCGGAGACUGAGGCUGGAGACCAGGGGCCUGCAGCACCGGACCAGAGGCCAGACCAGGAAUCCAUGGCUGAAGGAGCUGAUGGAGGAGCCGUGCUGAAGGCCCUGCCUUGUGGAGGAGCUGAUGGAGGCCCUGCCUGGUGGAGGAGCUGAUGGAGGCCCUGCCUGGGGGAGGUGCUGAUGGUGGCCCUGCCUGGUGAAGGAUGUCUUUCCUGGGGCAGAUGGAGCCUGACUCUGAAGUGAUCAUCACACUCACUGCCACUACUCGUAGAAUACUGCUACCACAAACUACCCGCGUUUGUUAAUAUACCAGACCACUACAUCUGUUUUACCACAUGUUGAAGCAAGACUUUCGCUGUUUGUUCCUGACCAGGACUCUGUCUGAGGAGAGCUGUUGGAGGAGCUGAGACGCUGGAAUAGAUCAACAAGGAUUCCUCAACGUGUUUCUGGAGCGGAGGCGAGCUGAUAAGGGAGCCGUGAAUCUGGAGGAUGACAUCACACUACCAAGAAGGAUUACGUUGGGGUCAGACUUGCGCUGUUUGUUCCAGACCAGGACUCUGGCUGAGGAGAGCUGAUGGAGGAGCCAAGGCUCUGGAGGACGACGUCACGUUACCAACAAGGAUCCUCGUCAAUUUGCAUAAAACCAGGAAUCUGGAUGACUGAUGGAGAAGCUGUACAUCUGGAAGGCAAAUCCUGAGGACAACCAGGACUCUACCAUCAAGGAUUCCUCACACACCUGAGCUGAACCUCACCUGAUCCUGGUUGGUCGGGGGCAGACACACCUGAGCUGAACCCCACCUGAUUCUGACAUCCUGCUGGUCCCGUCUCCUCAGUUCAUCUGAGCCUCGUCCUCCAGAAGACCUGUUGAGCUCAGCGGUCUGAGGCUGAUGGAUCAAUGACCUCCAGUGGGAGUGAUCUUCUUGACCCCACAUCUAGCCGUGUGCUUCCACACGCCUUUCUCUCACAUCUGUCACUAACCUCACUACUUCCCUACCCUCUACUCCUUCCCCUUCUUCUUCCUUCUCCGUGGUUCGAACCUUUACUCUGAAGGAGUGUCUUCUUGAACUUAUACACUGAAGGAACGUCUUCCUGCCCUCAGAGGGUUCAGCGUUAGGGUUGAGGUCAGGGUUUAGAGUCAGGGUCAGACAGAGCUGGUCAGAGCUGGUCAGGGAGGACUGGUUUUACACAAACCUCUUCACUUGCUUUCUGAAUGGUGGUGACAUUUUGAAACGAUUCAUUUGGGAAAAUGUUUUCCUCUGCUUUCCUUUGCAUAAAUAUGUAUUAAACUUCUGUCAAGUGUUUUUGUUUAUAUAUUAAAAUCCUACAUUGACUUCUGCAUGCUUGGUGCGGUUCAUUUAAUUGUCCUUUAACUUGGUUAAUGUCAAGCUAAACUCCUGCAAUACAUUUAAUAUACAUGAUGAAUGUUAUUCUGCAAUGUUCACAUAAUCCAUUUUGUAAAAAUAUAUUAAAUCCAUAUUGCUAGUUUCAAGCCUAUUC